CCGAAUUGCAACAAUGAAUAUCAAGCUUGCGUGUAUGCUCGUUUGCGCCCUUGUAGCAAUGGUGCGUAGUGCAGCCAAAAACGACGUUGAAGAAGCACGGCGGUUCCUUUUCGACUGCGAUUACCGGUGCACUCACGGGGGUUGUUACGGACAAGAAGGGAGAUGCCUUGGUGCAUGCUAUUGCUACGGCUCCGGAUACGAGUACCGCUGCAGGUCAUGUGACCUAUAGUUAUGUAUUGUGCAUGCACUGAUCUGUACAGAAUACAAUAAUCUAAAACUAUCAAUUU